rnacentral:rRNA from 1 species
GAUCAAGUGUCUUAAGGGCAAUUGGUGGAUGCCUUGGCAUGCACAGGCGAUGAAGGACGUGAUACGCUGCGAUAAGCUACGGGGAGGUGCGAAUACCCUUUGAUCCGUAGAUCUCCGAAUGGGGAAACCCACCUAAGGUACUUGGAAAAUCAGAGCUGCUGGUUGGUCGACAAGGCCGACCUGCAGUUGUGGUUUCCAAGUAUCGCUAAUAGGUAACUUAUCCUGAAUCCAUAGGGAUAAAGUGGCGAACGCGGGGAACUGAAACAUCUAAGUACCCGUAGGAAAGGACAUCAACCGAGACUCCGGAAGUAGUGGCGAGCGAACCCGGACCAGGCCAGUGGCGAUUGAGAGACAAGCGGAACCUUCUGGAAAGUAGGGCCAUAGCGGGUGACAGCCCCGUACGCGUAAUGCGAUCAAUCGUCCUCGAGUAAGGCGGGACACGUGAAAUCCUGUCUGAAAUUGGGAGGACCACCUUCCAAGCCUAAGUACUCGUGCAUGACCGAUAGCGAACUAGUACCGUGAGGGAAAGGUGAAAAGCACCCCGACAAGGGGAGUGAAAGAGUACCUGAAACCGAUUGCCUACAAACAGUGGGAGCCUGUAAGGGUGACCACGUACCUUUUGUAUAAUGGGUCAGCGACUUAGUGUGACGAGCAAGCUUAAACCGNNNNNNNNNNNNNNNNNNNNNNNNNNNNNNNNNNNNNNNNNNNNNNNNNNNNNNNNNNNNNNNNNNNNNNNNNNNNNNNNNNNNNNNNNNNNNNNNNNNGUAGGUGUAGGCGCAGCGAAAGCGAGUCUGAACAGGGCGUUCAGUUCGUCGCAUUAGACCCGAAACCGAGUGAUCUAGCCAUGAGCAGGCUGAAGGUAAGGUAACACUUACUGGAGGGCCGAACCCAUAACUGUUGCAAUAGUUCGGGAUGACUUGUGGCUAGGGGUGAAAGGCCAAUCAAACUCGGAAAUAGCUGGUUCUCCGCGAAAUCUAUUUAGGUAGAGCGUCGACCGAAUACCCCAGGGGGUAGAGCACUGGAUGGGCUAGGGGUCCUCACCGGAUUACCAAACCUAACCAAACUCCGAAUACCUGGGAGUACUAGUCGGCAGACACACGGCGGGUGCUAACGUCCGUCGUGAAAAGGGAAACAACCCUGACCUACAGCUAAGGUCCCCAAGUUAUGGCUAAGUGGGAAAGGAUGUGAGGAUCCCAAAACAACCAGGAUGUUGGCUUAGAAGCAGCCAUCAUUUAAAGAAAGCGUAACAGCUCACUGGUCUAAAUAAGGGUCUUUGCGCCGAAAAUGUAACGGGGCUAAAGCCAUACACCGAAGCUUAGGGUUCGUGAGCAAUCACGAGCGGUAGCGGAGCGUUCUGUAAGCUGAUGAAGCCGUACCCGUGAGGGGCGGUGGAGGUAUCAGAAGUGCGAAUGCUGACAUGAGUAACGUAAGGGGAGUGAGAGACUCCCCCGCCGAAAGACCAAGGGUUCCUGCUUAAAGUUAAUCUGAGCAGGGUUAGCCGGCCCCUAAGACGAGGCGGAAACGCGUAGUCGAUGGGAACCACGUUAAUAUUCGUGGGCCUGGAGGUAGUGACGGAUCACACAAGUUGUCCAAUCUUAUCGGAUUGAACGGGCAGCGGAGUGGUUCCAGGAAAUAGCUCCUCCUUAUAGACCGUACCCGAAACCGACACUGGUGGUCAGGUAGAGUAUACCAAGGCGCUUGAGAGAACUAUGCUGAAGGAACUCGGCAAAUUGCACGCGUAACUUCGGAAGAAGCGUGACCCUUUUCUACGCAAGUGGAGGAGGGUGGCACAGACCAGGGGGUAGCGACUGUUUAUCAAAAACACAGGGCUCUGCGAAGCCGCAAGGCGACGUAUAGGGUCUGACGCCUGCCCGGUGCUGGAAGGUUAAGAGGAGGGGUGCAAGCUCUGAAUCGAAGCCCCAGUAAACGGCGGCCGUAACUAUAACGGUCCUAAGGUAGCGAAAUUCCUUGUCGGGUAAGUUCCGACCUGCACGAAUGGCGUAACGACUUCCCCGCUGUCUCCAGCAUAGACUCAGUGAAAUUGAAUUCCCCGUGAAGAUGCGGGGUUCCUGCGGUUAGACGGAAAGACCCCGUGCACCUUUACUAUAGCUUUACAUUGGCAUUCGUAGUGGCAUGUGUAGGAUAGGUGGUAGGCUUUGAAGCCUGGGCGCCAGCUCAGGUGGAGCCACCCUUGAAAUACCACCCUUAUUACUAUGGAUGUCUAACCGCGGCCCGUUAUCCGGGUCCGGGACAAUGUAUGGUGGGUAGUUUGACUGGGGCGGUCGCCUCCUAAAGAGUAACGGAGGCGCGCGAUGGUGGGCUCAGAACGGUCGGAAAUCGUUCGCUGAGUGCAAUGGCAUAAGCCUGCCUGACUGCGAGACUGACAAGUCGAGCAGAGACGAAAGUCGGUCAUAGUGAUCCGGUGGUCCCGCGUGGAAGGGCCAUCGCUCAACGGAUAAAAGGUACGCCGGGGAUAACAGGCUGAUGACCCCCAAGAGUCCAUAUCGACGGGGUUGUUUGGCACCUCGAUGUCGACUCAUCGCAUCCUGGGGCUGGAGCAGGUCCCAAGGGUAUGGCUGUUCGCCAUUUAAAGCGGUACGUGAGUUGGGUUCAGAACGUCGUGAGACAGUUCGGUCCCUAUCUGCCGUGGGUGUAGGAAUAUUGAAAGGAUCUGUCCCUAGUACGAGAGGACCGGGAUGGACGGAUCUCUGGUGGACCUGUUGUGGCGCCAGCCGCAUCGCAGGGUAGCUAUAUCCGGACGGGAUAACCGCUGAAGGCAUCUAAGCGGGAAACCCACCUUGAAACGAGUAUUCCCUGAGAACCGUGGAAGACGACCACGUUGAUAGGCCGGGUGUGGAAGAGCGGCAACGCUUGAAGCUUACCGGUACUAAUAGUUCGAUAGGCUUGAUCGUUCUCAUU